GUAGGGAAUAUUGCGCAAUGGGGGAAACCCUGACGCAGCGACGCCGCGUGAGUGAUGAAGGCCUUCGGGUCGUAAAGCUCUGUUGCAGGGGAAUAAAAAAAUGAAGGUACCCUGUGAGGAAGGAUCGGCUAACUUCGUGCCAGCAGCCGCGGUAAGACGAGGGAUCCUAGCGUUGCUCGGAAUCAUUGGGCGUAAAGAGGGCGUAGGUGGCUUGGUAAGUCAGGUGUGAAAGCCCAGGGCUCAACCCUGGAAGUGCAUUUGAUACUGCUGAGCUUGAGUGUCGGAGAGGUUACCGGAUUACCUGGUGUAGUGGUGAAAUACGUAGAUAUCAGGUGGAACACCGGAGGCGAAGGCGGGUAACUGGACGAACACUGACACUGAGGCCCGAAAGCGUGGGGAUCAAACAGGAUUAGAUACCCUAGUAGUCC
rnacentral:rRNA from 1 species